CCUACGGGUGGCAGCAGUGAGGAAUAUUGGUCAAUGGACGCAAGUCUGAACCAGCCAUGCCGCGUGCAGGAUGACGGCCCUAUGAGUUGUAAACUGCUUUUGUACGAGCGUAAACCCCGAUACGUGUACCGGGGUGAAAGUACCGUACGAACAAGGAACGGCUAACUCCGUGCCAGCAGCCGCGGUAAUACGGAGGAUCCGAGCGUUAUCCGGAUUUAUUGGGUUUAAAGGGUGCGUAGGCGGUUUGAUAAGUUAGAGGUGAAAUGUCCGGGCUCAACCCCGGAACUGCCUCUAAUACUGUUGGACUAGAGAGUGUGUGAGGUAGGCGGAAUGCAUGGUGUAGGGGUGAAAUGCUGAGAGAUCAUACAGAACACCGAUUGCGAAGGCAGCUUAC
rnacentral:rRNA from 1 species